rnacentral:rRNA from 1 species
GCUGGUAUAAUUUAGUGGCGAACGGGUGAGUAACGCGUAGAUGAUCUACCCUUGGGUGGGGGAUAGUCCUGCGAAAGUGGGUUUAAUACCGCAUAAAGUAUGUUGCUUGGAAGGUGGCAUAUGAAAGGCUUUGGUUGCCUGAGGAUGAGUCUGCGUACCAUUAGUUAGUUGGUAGGGUAAGAGCCUACCAAGGCGAGGAUGGUUAGCCGGUCUGAGAGGAUGGUCGGUCACAUUGGGACUGAGAUACGGCCCAGACUCCUACGGGAGGCAGCAGCCAAGAAUCUUCCGCAAUGGGCGAGAGCCUGACGGAGCGACGCCGCGUGGACGAAGAAGGCCCUUUGGGUUGUAAAGUCCUUUUCAUAUAGAAGAAUGCUAGAUGUAGGUUUAGUUGACGGUAUAUAUGGAAUAAGCCCCGGCUAAUUACGUGCCAGCAGCCGCGGUAAUACGUAGGGGGCGAGCGUUGUUCGGAAUUAUUGGGCAUAAAGGGCGCGUAGGCGGUCUUUCAAGUUAUAGGUGAAAAGUCAGUGCUUAACAUUGAUCGUGCCUAUAAAACUGGAGGACUAGAGUUUAGGAGAGGAUGCCGGAAUCCCUGGUGUAGGGGUGGAAUCUAUAGAUAUCAGGAGGAACACCUGUGGCGAAGGCGGGCAUCUGGCCUCUGACUGACGCUGAUGUGCGAAAGCGUGGGGAGCGAACAGGAUUAGAUACCCUGGUAGUCCACGCAGUAAACGUUGUAUACUAGGUGUUUGGGGUAUCGAUCCCCUGUGUGCCGAAGCAAAUGUGAUAAGUAUACCGCCUGGGGAGUAUGCCGGCAACGGUGAAACUCAAAGGAAUUGACGGGGGCCCGCACAAGCGGUGGAGCAUGUGGUUUAAUUCGAUGAUACGCGAAGAACCUUACCUGGGCUUGACAUGGUGCCUGACUGAUAAGAGAUUAUCAGGCUCUUCGGAGGGGCAUCACAGGUGCUGCCAUGGCUGUCGUCAGCUCGUGUCGUGAGAUGUUGGGUUAAGUCCCGCAACGAGCGCAACCCUCAUGGUAGUUGCCAUCAGGGUAAUGCCGGGCACUCUA